GUCCAGGUCUCUGCAUGCUGAAGCUGGAUGAAGGGUCAGGGUAAGCUGGGGAGGCAGGAAGGGGUCAGUGCAGGAGUGUGAUGAUCACCAGAGGCCUUGUGUCAGGGUUGUUAUGAGAAGGGAAGGAGAAAUACCUCUUUAAAUAAAAGCUUGGGCAUGUUUAGAGCAUGUGCAGAUGCUGAUAGGAGGGACCCUAUAGAGAAGGAGAAUUGAUGGAUAGCGUGUGGUCCUGAGAGUGUCAGAGGGAUAGGAUUUGUAGCUCAGCUCAGGGUUGGCCUGGGACACAAGUAGCAACACCUGUGUGUGAAAAGAGACCAGGAAAGGGGGAUGCAGUGCAGGUGGGCCUUUCUUACAGGUGGCUCACGGGAAGGUGAGGGAGUGCUGGCAGCGACCGUGUUUGCUCUGUGUUAGGAGACUUUGACCUCUGCACUGAGUGAUCUUCCCAACCCAGGGAUUGAACCCGGGUCUCCUGCAUUGCCAGCAGAUGCUUUAUCCUCUGGGCCACUAGGGAAGCCCCAGGGAAAAAGAGGCCUUACUUACUCAAGGAGGAGCAGGCUGCCAGAGUGUGUGAGACCUGACUAGUGCCUUGCUGGCCUCAGCUCCGCCAUUGCAUGUUCAUCUGAACUAGGACCCAAGGGUACUUGGAGAAGGUGUUGGGUGCGGAUUUCUACAAACUGCCAAGGGCUACAGCAAUGAGAACUCUCUCAGCGGUAGACCUGCUUCAGCAUGAAGGACUGCACUUAAAGGGAUGCAUACUAUUCCAGCUCAAGCAACAGAUACUGAAGUGCAGAUCACUGUCCUUUGUUGAAAAGGAUCAGCAGUUUGUCAACAUAGGUAACACGCCAGAGCAAGCCUUGGGAUGCAACUCUGAAAACAGGUUAGGCCCUCUUUU
ensembl:lncRNA